rnacentral:rRNA from 1 species
UGGGGAAUAUUGCACAAUGGGCGAAAGCCUGAUGCAGCAACGCCGCGUGAGUGAUGAAGGCCUUCGGGUUGUAAAGCUCUGUCUUUUGGGACGAUAAUGACGGUACCAAAGGAGGAAGCCACGGCUAACUACGUGCCAGCAGCCGCGGUAAUACGUAGGUGGCAAGCGUUGUCCGGAUUUACUGGGCGUAAAGGAUGCGUAGGCGGAUUUUUAAGUGAGAUGUGAAAACCCUAAGCUUAACUUGGGGGACUGCAUUUCAUACUGGAAAUCUAGAGUGCGGGAGAGGAGAAUGGAAUUCCUAGUGUAGCGGUGAAAUGCGUAGAGAUUAGGAAGAACACCAGUGGCGAAGGCGAUUCUCUGGACCGUAACUGACGCUGAGGCAUGAAAGCGUGGGUAGCAAACAGGAUUAGAUACCCUGGUAGUCCACGCCGUAAACGAUGAGUACUAGGUGUAGGAGGUAUCGACCCCUUCUGUGCCGCAGUUAACACAAUAAGUACUCCGCCUGGGAAGUACGAUCGCAAGAUUAAAACUCAAAGGAAUUGACGGGGUCAUAGCUGUUUUUCU